rnacentral:snRNA from 1 species
GUGUGAGGGCAAUCUAGCUGUGACAUCUGUCAUCCCAUUGAUGGCCAGUGUGACUCAGCUGAUCUGGCUGGCGAGGCCGGUGUCUCUUUUCUCCCUCAUUGCUUCAUGUGAGUCCUUCAGGAAGGUGUGCACUCCCUGGAAGAGGACUGUCCCCAGACAAGGGAGGACUGGUCUUUGGUCAAGGGUAUAGAGUAGCUGUGCCCCCUUGCUAGAACCACCAAACAAGCUCUCAAGAAUAUGAAACAGUAUUCAGUAUGGACUCCCCACUGUGCACAGGUGUUGACAGCAAGGUCUUGGAAAGUGCCUCAGUCACUGGGGAAGCUACAAGAUGAGCUCUCUUCCCCAGAGAAUUAGGUGGGCUAAGGAUCAGUUUUGCUUAUUUUU